rnacentral:rRNA from 1 species
GCUAAGACUGGAUAGGAAGAAAUAAGGCAUCUUAUUUCUUUUAAAAGACCUAGAACGGUAUACUUUAGGAGGGGCUUGCGCCAUAUUAGUUAGUUGGUAGGGUAAUGGUCUACCAAGACGAUGAUGUGUAGCUGGACUGAGAGGUUGAACAGCCACAUUGGGACUGAGACACGGCCCAAACUCCUACGGGAGGCAGCAGUAAGGAAUUUUCGGCAAUGGAGGAAACUCUGACCGAGCAACGCCGCGUGAACGACGAAGUACUUUGGUAUGUAAAGUUCUUUUAUCAAGGAAGAAAAGCAAGUGGUGAACCAUUUGUUUGCCGGUACUUGAUGAAUAAGCCCCGGCUAAUUAUGUGCCAGCAGCCGCGGUAAGACAUAAGGGGCAAGUGUUAUCCGGAAAUUAUUGGGCGUAAAGGGUGCGUAGGCGGUCUAGUAAGUCAGUGGUGUAAUGGCAACGCUCAACGUUGUCCGGCUAUUGAAACUGCUAAACUUGAGUUAGAUAGAGGCGAGUGGAAUUCCAUGUGUAGCGGUAAAAUGCGUAAAUAUAUGGAGGAACACCAGAGGCGUAGGCGGCUCGCUGGGUCUUAACUGACGCUGAGGCACGAAAGCGUGGGGAGCAAACAGGAUUAGAUACCCUGGUAGUCCACGCCGUAAACGAUGAGUACUAAGUGUCGGGUUAAACCGGUACUGAAGUUAACACAUUAAGUAUUCCGCCUGAUUAGUACGUACGCAAGUAUGAAACUUAAAGGAAUUGACGGGACUCCGCACAAGCGGUGGAUCGUGUUGUUUAAUUCGAAGAUACCCGAAAAACCUUACCAGGUCUUGACAUGUUUUUGCGAAACGGUAGUAAUAUCGUAGAGGUUAUCAGAAACACAGGUGGUGCAUGGUUGUCGUCAGCUCGUGUCGUGAGAUGUUAGGUUAAGUCCUAAAACGAGCGAAACCCUUAUCGUUAGUUGCCAGCACGUUAUGGUGGGGACUUUAACGAGACUGCCAGUGAUAAACUGGAGGAAGGUGAGGAUCACGUCAAAUCAGCAUGCCCCUUAUGACCUGGGCUACAAACGUGAUACAAUGGCUGUUACAAAGGGUAGCUGAAACGUAAGUUCCUGGCCAAUCCCCAAAAACAGUCUCAGUCCGGAUUGAAGUCUGCAACUCGACUUCAUGAAGUUGGAAUCGCUAGUAAUCGCGAAUCAGCAUGUCGCGGUGAAUACGUUCUCGGAGUUUGUACACACCGCCCGUCAAA